AACGAACGCUGGCGGCAGGCCUAACACAUGCAAGUCGAGCGCCCUUUCGGGGGUGCGGCGGACGGGUGAGUAACGCGUGGGAAUAUGCCCUUCUCUACGGACUAGCCUCGGCAAACUGAGAGUAAUACCGUACACGCCCUGAUGGGGAAGGAUUUAUCGGGGAAGGUUUAGCCCGCGUUGGAUUAGGUAGUUGGUGGGGUAAUGGCCGACCAAGCCGACGAUCCAUAGCUGGAUUGGGAGGGUGAACAGCCACACUGGGACUGGGACACGGCCCAGACGGCUGCGAGAAGCAGCAGUGGGUGAACUUAGGCAGGGAGGGCAACCCUGAAACGCCGAUGCCGGGAGGGUGAUGAAGGGCUUGGAGUUGUAAAGCGCUUGUGGCGGAGAGGGUAAUGACGGUACCAGCAGAAGAAGCCCCGGCUAACUCCGU
rnacentral:rRNA from 1 species